UUCAAGAUAUACCAAGUCUUGGUGCAGUGGUAAUGUUUCUUUUUUGCAUGGUGAUUAUGGAUCCACGUUGCGGAAACAGCCUAUCAUCUAAUGGAGCAGAGAAUUUGUACCUUUGAACCUGUUAGAUCCUCAAAUGGGUUGCGAGAUCGGAAAGAAAGACGGGCUCAACAAUUUCGCGUGGGUCAAAAGUUCCAAGGUUUACACCUGGAGAAAGACCAAGAGGAAAAGUGUUAUUUACUGAUUAGUGGACUGUGAUGAAUGUAUGAGAAAAGUUAGGGGCGUGAUGAGAUGGAAUCUUAGUGUCUCAUUCUGUUAGAUAAAUCCGCAAAUCUGCUCGUUGCUGGGGAAAAAGAAAUCAUUCUAGUUCACUGGUUGUUUCUGCUGGAUAAGCAGGAUCGAGCAUGGAAGCAACGGUGGAACAAGUUGGACGUACUUGAUGGUUUCAGAAAAUGUUGAGUAAUAAACUGUGCUAGCUGCAUCAAGUAAUUGUUGUCUUGUUUGUACGGAUUGGAAAUGGAGGAAUAAUUUAUAUUUUUCAAAGCUCCCAGAAGUUGGCAAAAGUAAGCAAAUAUUUCUUUAAAAAUGAAUUACCAUUUGGUAUAGUCCACUACGCCAAUUACCCAUUGUCCUUUGUUUCUCGUUGUGCCGAUUAAAUUGAGUUCAAGAAAGGUUUGAGGUUUAGACAGUAGAACCCAGAAUAACUAUAACUUGAGUUCUACACAAGGGAUCUUUUAGGGUUGAAGAAAGGAAUAGUGAUUUGAGUCUUGCAUACUAA